CUCCAGGUCGACUUUCCAGGCGAUUACUCUAUAAAAUCCGAGGCUGGCCAGAAGUAUCUUGUCAGGCUUUCUCGGACUGCUGAAAUUCCUGGAAAAUGGAGGCUUUACUUAGUUGAAUCAGGAAGGCGCCGGCUAUGGGGAAAAAAAAAGUCAAGUUUUCAGACGGGACCCUUUGCUUGCAAUAACAUUAAGUUGGGUAGCAGGUGCUGGGCAAGUGGCUGUACGAUUCCUUAUGCCGAAAAGCUGAUUAAUGUUAAGCAACUGCUGACCUGACGGUUCAGGAAGUUUUGCUGAGCUUCUUAUGAAAGCUUGCCUACAGCCAGGUCCUAUGAAGGCAUUUUCUCAAUUGAGGUUUCCUCUUUUCAGGAUGUCAAAAUGUGAACACUGAGGCAAGAGGUUUAAAUCAUAGCAUUAUGGAAAUAAAGCCUGUUUGAAGGUCAGAGAAUGGAGCUUGCCACUAGCUGACCAUAGAGGUCUGGAGACAGACAGAAAGUGAGAUACCUAGGUGGAAACAGGAUAUAAGCAGGGAGAAAUAGGAACUUACUUUCUUGUCUGCUGAGACACUAAGGAGGUAAGGUGUGCCAUGGCUUGCUCCUUUUCUCUUAUCUCUCAGCAUUUUCCAGGUUAUUUCUGACUCCAGGUUAUUAUCUAUACCAAUUAAGAACUCCCAGUGAGGACUGUGUGUCAAAAACCAGAGGUCUUGAACCCAACCAAUGACUCAAGCUGAUGGAACAAAGGAGUAUACUCUAUGACACUGAAGCCUCCAAUACCAUCAGGAUGGAUAAAGAGAAUCUCCCUGUGUAGCCUUGGCUGUCCUGGAACUCACUCUAUCAAACAGGCUGGCCUCAAACUCAUGAAGAUCUGCCUGUCUCUCCCUCCCAAGUACUGGGAUAUUAAAGGUCACAAUGCCAGAUCCUGAACUCUGCCUGUGACCCUAACUACUUAGAAGUUCUGACACCGAGCGGAUGAAUAAAGUUGCUCCUGCUCAUCUAACUUUGGUGGCCUUGUCCUCAAUAUUUCUGAGGCGCCCCGACCUUGAAUCUCAUAUUGAAGACCUUGAAAGCUCUUCACUGUCUAAAUGAACUGAUUCUGUAAUUCCAUCAGUGGCUACUGCAACAUUCAUAACAUUGCAUCUACCGUAGAUGCAUCUACCAUGGGUGUGCUUCAGAGAGCCCCAGCCCCAAACCCUCUCCAUGUGUCAUUUUGGGGGGCAGCGAGCUAUAAAGUAAAAACAAUCCUCUUCUAUAGGACAGCUGUGGAUUCAGAACAAAAGACUAAAAUUCUUAAUCGGGCAUGUUGCACAAACCUGUAAUCCCAGCACUUAGGUAGAGGCAAAGGUUCAGAAAUUCAAGGUCACUCUCUGUGACAUUUGAGUGAGUUUGAGGCCAGCCUGGGAUACACAUGACCUUGUCUUAAAAAUAAAGUAGGACUGGAACCCAAGGCUUACUUCAUUAGCAGCUGUCACUGGGUCACCCCGGCCCUCCUUUGUGCCCCUUUAUUAUGUAUGCAGACUCCUGCUGAAUGUUCCCUCUAGGUUAUUUCCCCCACAGUCCUAGGUUCC
rnacentral:lncRNA from 1 species